rnacentral:rRNA from 1 species
CAGUCAUACCAACGGGAAAUCAACCUUUUGAGCUCGGUCUCGUGGGGUUUGAAGAGUUUCAAAGCCUUCGGAUUCGCGAGAUUGGGAUCUCUCGGUGUACUUUCUCGUACGGUUAGUCAACAUCGGUUUUGAAUGUCAUAAAAUGACUGGAGGAAUGUAGCUUCGAUCUCGUAUUGAAGUGUUAUAGCCUUUGGUAGAUGUGAUGUUUGAGACCGAGGAUUGCAACGGAUACCCUUCAGGGCUAUUCGUCUGAUCUCUGAUACGUUGCCCUGAUGUUGAAAGCUUGCUUAUGAUGUUAGGGUAUUACGGUCAAAAGGUUAGAACUCAUUAGA